CGGUAAGUCAUCAAGAACGCCUUCUCAGUCUCACUGGUACACGGUGCAUGGACCACAAAUUCAAACUACAGUUCCACGGAUCCACAGUGGCAACAAACGAACAACCAUAGUACGCCGACCUGAAAUUAAAACAGUUUCUACUGUAUUACCGACUUACAGCGAACAGUUCAGUGCGGUGUGCGGUGUUCGGAGGCAGUGUAAAUCUCGUCACAAUCAGGAAAUCAAGCUCCUGUGCAAGCUUUCUGCUUCUUUGUAUAAUGGAUAAGGAGCUGGUCUUGUAACCUGAAGGUCACCGGUUCGAUUCCCUGGUGGGACACUGCCGUUGUACCCUUGAGCCAAGACAGCUGCCGGCCAUGGUGGCUCUGCAGACUCUGCACCUGAGAAACACCCAGCGCACCCAGAGCAACAUGCCCACCAGCAUGGAGGGCCUCUCUAACCUGGCAGUAUAAUGGAUAAGGAGCUGGUCUUGUAACCUGAAGGUCACCGGUUCGAUUCCCUGGUGGGACACUGCCGUUGUACCCUUGAGCCCAGGUGCUGAUGUCCCAGUACUUCUGCCAGCUCACCGACUGAACACAUGUUCACUGGACCCAGUGGAUGACACACCCAACUGUUUCUCUCCUUUCCCCUCUCAGACACACAGUUGUACUCAAGCAUGUCACCCUUGUGACACCUGAGCUGACACCUGAUGCUUAAUCUGGCCAAGACCAAGCUGCUCUACAUUCCCACCAAGUCCACUCUCCUCCAGGACCUCUCCGUCACCCUGGACAACACUGUGUAUCAUGUUUUCUUUCAGCACAACCUUCAAUUAAGUCUACAAAAUCUGCGCUUCAAGAUCAUUCAAAUGAUUUUAAGAUCAUUAUUGCAAAUAUUCUAGAGUGUGGGUGCGGAGGACAAAGGCAAUUUUCUGCAAUUUGAAAUAAUGUCUAUAAAAUGUGCACAAUUUUGCAAUGCAAAUAGAAAAUAAUUUUAUUACUUACCUAAUAGCUUGAUUCUGGAGAACUGCUUAUAGCUGAUGGUACUGAGUAUUUUGUGAAUGAAUCGCAGUAAUGUUAAUCAGGAAAGAUGACUGAAAACGGCUCGAGGCCAAUGAUCAGUUUAAGUGGAAAUUUUCCACCCUGCUCGAUUUUUAGCUCAGCAGCUGCCACUGCUUCCUGAACCCAGGUGGUAAAAUAAUUAGUGAAAGUAGGCGCUGCAGUUAAGUAACGUUACUAUAGUGACUGCCAUAAACCUUGGAGAGAUGCUCAACAGAAACCUGCCCUCUGCUGAUAAGGUAGCGUCGGUGAGCCGGGCAUGCGGAUUCUUCCCCUGCAGCACCUGAAGAAUCCUCUCCUUCGUCACCAUCACGUUCACUCAGCACCUGGUCUAAGGCCUUGGUGCUCUCUCGCCUGGAGUUCUGCAACUGUGUCUUCAACUGGCCUCCCUCCCUGUGCUAAAGUUGCUAGUCUAACGUCCUGAAUUAACCGCUAGCAGUGAUUUAUAUACUGUACAUUGAAACUAGCCAUGCUACUAACAUUUUGGCUAUUGUAUUACAUUUUUUUUUUCAGUAUAUCAUUGAUUAGUUGUUGGAACACUGUUUUAUGCACUGUUGUGAUAUGUUCUUUUGUUGACUGAUGACUCUCAUUCGCAUGUGUUCUAAUACUCCCUGUAACUGUACUGUUGUCCAUGUAGUCUUAUUAUAUGCAUGUAUGUGCCUUUGCUUUGUAAUUCACUCUCGAUAAGAGCAGCUGACAAAUAAACUGAAGUGUCUUCAAGUAUAAACUACUUAAAAUUUCUAUAAAAACACACAUUUUUAUUCAUUU